GAUGAACGCUGGCGGCGUGCCUAAUACAUGCAAGUCGAGCGAACGGACGAGAAGCUUGCUUCUCUGAUGUUAGCGGCGGACGGGUGAGUAACACGUGGAUAACCUACCUAUAAGACUGGGAUAACUUCGGGAAACCGGAGCUAAUACCGGAUGAUAUUUUGAACCGCAUGGUUCAAAAGUGAAAGACGGUCUUGCUGUCACUUAUAGAUGGAUCCGCGCUGCAUUAGCUAGUUGGUAAGGUAACGGCUUACCAAGGCAACGAUGCAUAGCCGACCUGAGAGGGUGAUCGGCCACACCGGGACUGAGACACGGUCCAGACUCCUACGGGAGGCAGCAGUAGGGAAUCUUCCGCAAUGGGCGAAAGCCUGACGGAGCAACGCCGCGUGAGUGAUGAAGGUCUUCGGAUCGUAAAACUCUGUUAUUAGGGAAGAACAUAUGUGUAAGUAACUGUGCACAUCUUGACGGUACCUAAUCAGAAAGCCACGGCUAACUACGUG
rnacentral:rRNA from 1 species